GGGGAUUUAGCUCAGUGGCAUAAGCACCUGCCUUGCAAGCAGGUGGUCGUGAGUUCGAGCUCCAGUACCGA
rnacentral:tRNA from 1 species